rnacentral:rRNA from 1 species
AGAAUCAACGCUGGCGGCGUGCCUAACACAUGCAAGUCGCACGAGAAAGGGACUUCGGUCCUGAGUACAGUGGCGCACGGGUGAGUAACACGUGAAUAAUCUACCUCCGAGUGGGGAAUAACUGAGAGAAAUCUUAGCUAAUACCGCAUAACACUUACGAGUCAAAGCAGCAAUGCGCUUGGAGAGGAGUUCGCGGCCGAUUAGUUAGUUGGCGGGGUAAUGGCCCACCAAGACGAUGAUCGGUAUCCGGCCUGAGAGGGCGCACGGACACACUGGAACUGAAACACGGUCCAGACUCCUACGGGAGGCAGCAGUGGGGAAUUUUGCGCAAUGGGGGAAACCCUGACGCAGCAACGCCGCGUGGAGGAUGAAGCCCCUUGGGGUGUAAACUCCUUUCGAUCGGGAAGAUAAUGACGGUACCGAUAUAAGAAGCCCCGGCUAACUUCGUGCCAGCAGCCGC